GACGAACGCUGGCGGCGUGCCUAACACAUGCAAGUCGAACGAAGUAUGUUUUCGGAAUGUACUUAGUGGCGGACGGGUGAGUAACGCGUGAAUAAUCUGCCCCAUACAGGGGGAUAGCCUCGGGAAACCGGGAUUAAAACCGCAUGAUGCUUUUUANCGCAUGGUAGAGAAGUCAAAAUCGAAUAAGAGGUAUGAGAUGAGUUCGCGUCUGAUUAGCUGGUUGGCGGGGUAAAGCCCACCAAGGCGACGAUCAGUAGCCGGCCUGAGAGGGUGAUCGGCCACACUGGGACUGAGACACGGCCCAGACUCCUACGGGAGACAGCAGUAGGGAAUCUUCAGCAAUGGACGAAGUCUGACCGAGCAACGCCGCGUGAGUGAAAGAAGG
rnacentral:rRNA from 1 species